CUGCCGCAGGCAGGCCUGAGGCGGCCUCAGUGCGUCAAGCACAACACCGAGGGCAAGGAUCGCCGCUCCAUUUGGAUGCCGUGCACACUGCACAUACAGUGUAUCAAUCCAAAGCCACACCAGGCGUGAGGCAAGCAUGCUGUUUCCACGAACAUUUUUUUGACACAACUUGUGUGUGUGUGUGUGUGUGUGUGGAUCCCCAGUUUUCAGCCCCCGCCGUGCUGCACCCAGGUCCAGCAGCAGGGAAGCGCCCAAAGCCUUUCCAUUAGGACAGAAUUUCCCGUACUCGCUAAACUGCGUCAUGUGUGUGUAUGUGUGUUACAUGGUUGGGGGUGCGUGAACCCAUACCUGUAAAACUACCCAUACGAGCCGAAGGCCCAAGGGCAAUAUCUAUACGCCUAAAAGCCACGGAGAACAGGAAACACCGCGUCAUGUGUGACUCUGACCACUAAAAUGCGAUACGGGAGAACACACGCGCGUGCGCAGAAUUUGAAGGAAGGCUUGAUGACAUCGUUUCGGGAACCGAACUGCCAACGUCGGUAUGAUGGCGCGCCCAAAACGUCGAGCCUCUGUGAGGACAUACGUUACUAUACGGCCGGGGAUUCACUCCGUUUGAAACCGGGGCAGUACAACGACCUCCACGACCGCAAAUUGAGGCACAUUGCAGAGCUGCCCCGGCGAGGUGAAAUUCUGCAGGACAACGUCGCCGAGCUCUGCACGUAAUAAAACACGGACGGUUGGGAUAGCUGUAGGUUUGAUUGGCAUUGUUUAAGAAGACGAACUCGACUUUCAGAGUGGGUGCGGCUGCUCAGCAUUCUCUUGCAGAGGGAAAGCAUCCGUACCGAUACCCGAAACGCAGAUAGCUCUUCUGCGGUAUUUGUUCGAAUAAUACCACAUGACGUCGUGUCUUGGAAAGGACUGCAGCCGUAAGCACGGUACUGCAGCGAGGAAAACUGCUGUCGGACCGCCGCAAACGCGGCGAGUCCGAAAUCGGUCGUAAAUAUGCCUGUAGUUGCAGAUUGGCCCGGAUAGGCCCGGCAGGGCACCGUUCUUCACGGGCUGCACAUGUUUGCCUAUGUGGCGGAGGCUUUGCACCUUGUAGCAGUCAACACCGUUGGGGGAUUACCUUCAAGGGGUGCGCAAGGACUCACCUGGGCCCGGACUUGCGAUUCGUUCGCUCCUGCCGUCCUGCUCUUACCGUCAGCUGCACAUUCAUACAAGGAAAUAAGAUUAGGCAUUAGAUGUCACCACCUAACUAAUGCCCAUCUUCUCGUGCUCGGCCCAUGAAACAGUCAGCUGGACUCAUGUGUACCGGUAAUCAGUAUGACUAGUACCAGCAACGACUAUUUACAGGGUCAUGAAUGAAUUUAUACAUAUAAAGUCCAUAAAAUCGAUAUCUGUAAAACAAAAGUGUAAGAGAGCUCUUGUUACGAGUGUAUAGGAACAUCAAUUGCAACUGCAGCCUUGAAAAUGCCGACCCUUGCCGAGCUCGAAUUGGAGGUGAAGGACAGCCUGACAAAGCUAGCAUACCCUGAUAGGCCUUGGGUGAAGAAUGUGGCUGCUCCAGAUGGGAGUCAUUGCUACGAUGUCGUUAUCGUGGGUGGCGGACAGUGUGGGCUCA
rnacentral:lncRNA from 1 species